UACAGAGGGUGCGAGCGUUAAUCGGAAUUACUGGGCGUAAAGCGUGCGUAGACGGUUAUUUAAGUCGGGUGUGAAAGCCCCGGGCUCAACCUGGGAAUUGCAUUCGAGACUGAAUAGCUAGGGUACGGUAGAGGGAAGCGGAAUUUCCGGUGUAGCGGUGAAAUGCGUAGAUAUCGGAAGGAACAUCGGUGGCGAAAGCGGCUUCCUGGACCAGUACCGACGUUCAGGCACGAAAGCGUGGGGAGCAAACAGG
rnacentral:rRNA from 1 species